AAAUCCUACCUUCUCUGCUCCCCUGUGCUCAGUUAUAACAGGGGAGUCUGGCAGGACAUUCAACUGUCUCCCUUCAGUUUAGGAGGGCCGUUCUGAGUAUAGGGCUGGCUCUUAAAGGCAUGAGAGGACAAU